CCGCUUACGGACGCCCGCCCGCGGCCCCGCUCCGCUUACCUCUCCCUCACGCGGCCCGAAGCGAGGGUUGUAGAUGAAGAAGCUCAGUAGCGCCGGCGGGAACUGCUUCUCCUGGGCCGCCCCAGCUCCCGCCCCGGCCGCCGCUGCCGCCAUCCCGGCCCGGCCCCCCAGCCUCGGGAGCCUCCCUCUGCCCGCCCAAAUACAGCUGCCGCGAGGAGACCGCACUUCCGCCUCGCUCGCCGUCGUCCCGGAAGUGUCCGCUGCCGGCCCGGAAGAAGAAUUCGCAGCCCACUUUCCACUUCUGGCGCGCCUGUGUGGGUUCGUUCCCGUUUGUGUCUUGGGAAAGGCUGGUGUCCUUUGUCACAGAAGGAAGUGCACCUGGAGCUGGGAGCAGAAGGAGGGCCCCGCAGCAAGGAGGGGAGCCAGCAGAUGCUACAGGAGGAGCUGUCGUCUCCAUGCCAGCAGCAGAACCUGGGAGUCUGGAAGCCCUGUGACGGCCCUGGGGAAACCAACCCCCUCUGAGCCUCAGUUUCCUCACCUGAAAGCAAGAGGAUUGGACUGAGUGCUGAAGGUCCAGCUGCUCUGACACCCCAGGACCCUCCUCACUUGGGGAAGAGAGCAGACGCCCUCACCUUUGCUGCUGGGCAGAGUAGCCUUUGUGUCCUUUGGGGAGACAAUGUUGGUCAUCGCCAUGGCUGGGCUAAGAAGUGACAAGCAAGAGUGUGUCUCUUUGUCCUGGACUAUUUUGUCCCCAGUCUGCCUCUGCUGACACUUGAAACCAAAAUGAAGCCUGAGAGUUUGGAGUCUGGUGAUGAGGGAGGCGUUCUCAGAAAGAAGACAGGAAAGCCCCACAUUUUAGGCCCGUUCCUGUGUUGGCCCAUUCACACCUGUGAGCUGGGGACAGGACAUGCACUCCUGGUAGCCAUCCCCAGGGCUGACUUGCACUGGUGCCCCUGCCAGCGGGGCCCCACAGACACUGCAUCCAGUCCAACACCAAGUCUGGAAUCCAGAACUUCUGGUCAGCAAAUGCAUUCUCCGUUUAAUCAAGAAAAGUGGAUCCCUGGACCUGGCCUCCACCACGCUGAGCUAAUGCUUUGGAAAGAGGUAUUAGGUUUGCAGCCACGGAGGACGGACCAAACAGAGCAAGCCACACAGCUCCGCUGCAAUCACACAGGAUGUCUGGCUGCAGCAUCCCCAGGCCGACAGCCUCCUAUCAGGGCAGACCUGCAGCCUCUCCUUGCUUCCGCUGUAAAGAAUGAGGAGGGGGCUUCCCUGGUGGCGCAGUGGUUGAGAGUCCGCCCGCCAAUGCAGGGGACACGGGUUCGAGCCCCGGUCCGGGAAGAUCCCACAUGCCGCGGAGCGGCUGGGCCCGUGAGCCACAACUACUGAGCCUGCGCGUCUGGAGCCUGUGCUCUGCAACAAGAGAGGCCGCGAUAGUGAGAGGCCCGCACACCACGAUGAAGAGUGGCCCCUGCUCGCCACAACUAGAGGAAGCCCACGCACAGAA